UACGUAGGUGCCAAGCGUUGUCCGGAUUUACUGGGCGUAAAGAGCGCGCAGGCGGUCGUUCAAGUCGAGUGUGAAAGCCCCCGGCUCAACUGGGGAGGGUCACUCGAUACUGAUCGACUCGAAGGCAGGAGAGGGAAGUGGAAUUCCCGGUGUAGUGGUGAAAUGCGUAGAUAUCGGGAGGAACACCAGUGGCGAAGGCGACUUCCUGGCCUGUUCUUGACGCUGAGGCGCGAAAGCUAGGGGAGCAAACGGG
rnacentral:rRNA from 1 species